rnacentral:rRNA from 1 species
AUUGAACGCUGGCGGCAGGCCUAACACAUGCAAGUCGAGCGGAUGAAGGGAGCUUGCUCCUGGAUUCAGCGGCGGACGGGUGAGUAAUGCCUAGGAAUCUGCCUGGUAGUGGGGGAUAACGUCCGGAAACGGGCGCUAAUACCGCAUACGUCCUGAGGGAGCAAGUUGGGGAUCUUCGGACCUCACGCUAUCAGAUGAGCCUAGGUCGGAUUAGCUAGUUGGUGGGGUAAAGGCCUACCAAGGCGACGAUCCGUAACUGGUCUGAGAGGAUGAUCAGUCACACUGGAACUGAGACACGGUCCAGACUCCUAAGGGAGGCAGCAGUGGGGAAUAUUGGACAAUGGGCGAAAGCCUGAUCCAGCCAUGCCGCGUGUGUGAAGAAGGUCUUCGGAUUGUAAAGCACUUUAAGUUGGGAGGAAGGGCAGUAAGUUAAUACCUUGCUGGUUUGACGUUACCAACAGAAUAAGCACCGGCUAACUUCGUG